AGAGUUUGAUCAUGGCUCAGAUUGAACGCUGGCGGCAGGCCUAACACAUGCAAGUCGAGCGGUAGCACAGAGAGCUUGCUCUCGGGUGACGAGCGGCGGACGGGUGAGUAAUGUCUGGGAAACUGCCUGAUGGAGGGGGAUAACUACUGGAAACGGUAGCUAAUACCGCAUAAUGUCGCAAGACCAAAGUGGGGGACCUUCGGGCCUCAUGCCAUCAGAUGUGCCCAGAUGGGAUUAGCUAGUAGGUGGGGUAACGGCUCACCUAGGCGACGAUCCCUAGCUGGUCUGAGAGGAUGACCAGCCACACUGGAACUGAGACACGGUCCAGACUCCUACGGGAGGCAGCAGUGGGGAAUAUUGCACAAUGGGCGCAAGCCUGAUGCAGCCAUGCCGCGUGUGUGAAGAAGGCCUUCGGGUUGUAAAGCACUUUCAGCGGGGAGGAAGGCGAUAAGGUUAAUAACCUCAGCGAUUGACGUUACCCGCAGAAGAAGCACCGGCUAACUCCGUGCCAGCAGCCGCGGUAAUACGGAGGGUGCAAGCGUUAAUCGGAAUUACUGGGCGUAAAGCGCACGCAGGCGGUCUGUCAAGUCGGAUGUGAAAUCCCCGGGCUCAACCUGGGAACUGCAUUCGAAACUGGCAGGCUAGAGUCUUGUAGAGGGGGGUAGAAUUCCAGGUGUAGCGGUGAAAUGCGUAGAGAUCUGGAGGAAUACCGGUGGCGAAGGCGGCCCCCUGGACAAAGACUGACGCUCAGGUGCGAAAGCGUGGGGAGCAAACAGGAUUAGAUACCCUGGUAGUCCACGCCGUAAACGAUGUCGAUUUGGAGGUUGUGCCCUUGAGGCGUGGCUUCCGGAGCUAACGCGUUAAAUCGACCGCCUGGGGAGUACGGCCGCAAGGUUAAAACUCAAAUGAAUUGACGGGGGCCCGCACAAGCGGUGGAGCAUGUGGUUUAAUUCGAUGCAACGCGAAGAACCUUACCUGGUCUUGACAUCCACAGAACUUACCAGAGAUGCAUUGGUGCCUUCGGGAACUGUGAGACAGGUGCUGCAUGGCUGUCGUCAGCUCGUGUUGUGAAAUGUUGGGUUAAGUCCCGCAACGAGCGCAACCCUUAUCCUUUGUUGCCAGCGGUCCGGCCGGGAACUCAAAGGAGACUGCCAGUGAUAAACUGGAGGAAGGUGGGGAUGACGUCAAGUCAUCAUGGCCCUUACGACCAGGGCUACACACGUGCUACAAUGGCAUAUACAAAGAGAAGCGACCUCGCGAGAGCAAGCGGACCUCAUAAAGUAUGUCGUAGUCCGGAUUGGAGUCUGCAACUCGACUCCAUGAAGUCGGAAUCGCUAGUAAUCGUAGAUCAGAAUGCUACGGUGAAUACGUUCCCGGGCCUUGUACACACCGCCCGUCACACCAUGGGAGUGGGUUGCAAAAGAAGUAGGUAGCUUAACCUUCGGGAGGGCGCUUACCACUUUGUGAUUCAUGACUGGGGUGAAGUCGUAACAAGGUAACCGUAGGGGAACCUGCGGUUGGAUCACCU
rnacentral:rRNA from 1 species